rnacentral:rRNA from 1 species
GACGAACGCUGGCGGCGUGCUUAACACAUGCAAGUCGAACGGAAAGGCCCUGCUGUUGUGGGGUGCUCGAGUGGCGAAAGGGUGAGUAACACGUGAGUAACCUGCCCUUGACUUUGGGAUAACUUCAGGAAACUGGGGCUAAUACCGGAUAGGAGCUCCUGCUGCAUGGUGGGGGUUGGAAAGUUUCGGCGGUUGGGGAUGGACUCGCGGCUUAUCAGCUUGUUGGUGGGGUAGUGGCUUACCAAGGCUUUGACGGGUAGCCGGCCUGAGAGGGUGACCGGCCACAUUGGGACUGAGAUACGGCCCAGACUCCUACGGGAGGCAGCAGUGGGGAAUAUUGCACAAUGGGCGGAAGCCUGAUGCAGCAACGCCGCGUGCGGGAUGACGGCCUUCGGGUUGUAAACCGCUUUCGCCUGUGACGAAGCGUGAGUGACGGUAAUGGGUAAAGAAGCACCGGCUAACUACGUG